GAAUGCUCAGUCGGUAGAGGAUGAGGCUUUUAAUCUCAGGCCCGUGGUUCAAGCCCCACGUUGGGCA